GGCAAUGUACCAACAAAAGUGACAUUGUACUAAUUUUUCAUUUUAUAUCAUGCAGAAGACGUGGAAUAUUCUAGUUAUAGUAAACUAAUUUGAGGGUAAUUAUUCUAAAUCGCUAUACGAGUGAGUCUUUUAUAAUGAUUUAAAGACUUUGCUUAUUGUAUGUUUUAUCUUUUGAAAUAUACUUGAAAAGCUUGACUUGUAAGCAAAACAUAAAAUAAAAAUAAAAUUGAAAUUGUUAGAUUUUAGUAUGUUUCUUCUACCAUGUGCACUUGGGUAUGUGUCUAACCACUAUUUUUAAUUACCCACCGCCCCCCAAAAAAUGAUCCACUGUGGUCAUAGACCAUAUAGUUAUGGUGGAAUUUGAUGGAUGUUUGAAUAUUAAAUUGUUUAAUUCCCAUUUUGCCUGUGAUUUGAUCUCUAACCUAUAGUCCAUUAAUGGAUGAUAUAGGUAUUACAGAAAGGUAAAGUCAAUCAAACCCCUAGUGCCCAUUUUGGGAAAAAAGAAAAAUAAAAAGAAAAAGAGAAAGGAAAAUUUUCAAGAAAUCCUAUGUGUUCAUCAAAGAAAAAUCCUUUAUGGGUGGUCCAGCAAAACAUAGCUAGGUCAUUUUCAUGCCAGUAGGGGGCAUCUAUUUUCAUGUUCGAAGGAAGCAUGAAUUAUUAUUUCUUGCACGAAAAAAUUCAUCUCAAAAAUCACAAUAAUUCUCUUUGUAUAUAUAGCCCUUUUUUCUUUUUCUUUUUCUUUUUUUCUUUUACACUCUUGUUUGUAGCUUAUUUCACCUACAAAAGCUGCAAAAGCCC
rnacentral:lncRNA from 1 species